rnacentral:tRNA from 1 species
UGGCUUAGUGGUAGAGCACUUGCCUUGCAUGCAUGAAGCCCUGGGUUCGAUUCCUCAG